CUGUUAGAAAUAUGACCUAAAUAAGAAUAAAUAGUUAAAAGAUGCAUAAAUAAGUUUGAAAAGUUAAGUGAUUCAUUUAAUGAAGUUUAUUCAUCAGAAUUAAAAAUGUUAAAAAUGUUAAAACAGCAAUUUAACGUUCAAAGAUUAAAAGUAUGCAGACAGAAAAUUCAGUUCACUACCCCUUUAAGAGACUAGUGAAAUUAGAGCGUCAUGUCAGCGACGCUGCAGCAGAGACCUGCGGGAGAGAGCAGAAGAGAGAUUGGAGAGAAUGAUGUUUAUUAAGCAGAGAAAAGAGUGUAAAAGUUGAUUUUGCAAUUAAAAAAAACAUAACUUACCUGAUCAGGGAUUGACAGGGAUUUUAUGAGAACUAAGCCACAACGGUUUUGGUCAGGUUUUUUUAUGUGCUUAAUUUGAAGAUCUCUCGGAGCGAGGAUUGAUCUGCAGUGUGCAGGUGUGCACACGUGCGGACGGGAUUCAAGAUGGCGAGCCAGACCCAGAUUUGCAAAUCAUCUUCUUCAUCACAUCAGUGAGGAAACCUUUUGAUUACAGUGACUCGCUGCCAGAGCGGUAGGAGUAUAAGAAAUUGUUUUUGGAUCGAAUUGAACUCUGAUUGAACUAUUAUUUGCGGACUGAAUCGAACUGAAACUCUUCAUUGAACUGAAUAAUUUAACUCCCAUUGAACUCGAACUGAAUUAAAGACACACACUUCUAAUUUCA